AUUCCAGCUCCAAUAGCGAAUACUAAUUCUGCUGCAGUUAAAAAGCUCGUAGUUGAACCUCUGGUAGGGCGGAUCCGGCCUUUGGGAUGAUUCCCUUUGUUGCUGUGUGUCUUGUCUGGCCAUCUUUUCUCUUUUUGUUUAAAAGGAGGAUCUUUCACUGUAAAAAAAUUAGGGUGUUUCAAGCAAAAGUUAUUUGGAAUAUAUUAGUAUGGGAUGAUAAGAUAAGCUUUAGUUGCUAUUUUGUUGGUUUGCACAAUUAAAGAAUGAUUAACAGGGACAGUUGGGGGUAUUCAUAUUUACAUGUCAGAGGUGAAAUUCUUGGAUUUUGGAAAGAUGAACGACUGCGAAGGCAUUUACCAAGGAUGUUUUCAUUG
rnacentral:rRNA from 1 species